GAGUGCAUUCCCAUUGCUUAUAACCAAGGAACACUAUUGGAGCCCAGUCCAGAUGGAAAAUUGUGACGUCUAGUGAGCCCUGUGCCCAACACUGUGCUGGGUCAAGGACAUUCUAUGGUGAGCGAAGUAGGCACCAUCCCACCUCAAUGAUCUCAUAGUCCAGCAAAGAAGAGGAGUUAUGCAAAUAGGCCUGAUUAACAAAUUGGAACAUGUACUACGAAGGAAACAAAAUUCUGUGGAACAAAAAGGAAUAACUGAAGAUAUCUCAUUUGAAGAUAAGGUGAGGCUUAGAAGAGAUUUCUCUGAGCACAAGAUAUUUAACCUGAAACAUGAGGAUGAGUAGUGCUGGAUUAGCCCAGGGGGAAUUCAUGGGACAGCGAGACCAUUCCUGAGGGAGAGAACCACACGGGCAAAGGCUCUGAGGAAGAAAACUUGGCCCGUUGGAGGCACUGAAAGCCAGGCAGCAUGGCUCGCAGAGGUGGCCAAGCUGAGGCUAAAAAGUGCAAUGGGCAGCUUCCACUGGUGGCUAUGGAACUGGGCUCAGCCAGGCUCCUCUGAGAGGAGAGUGGCCCCGCACCCUUGAGCCGUGGCUACUGGGAGACAGAGGUGUCAACUGAAUGGUUGUGAUCUGGAAGUCAGAACUCCAAGUUCUGUAAAAAAAUAACAUAGAAUAAAAUCUCCUAGGGCUGUGGCAGGGGUCAACAGGGAUAAAGUAGGUAUAGGGUGAGGACGGGGCCUUGUAUACAGAAAGCACUCAGUGCAUGUGGGCCCUGGCUCUUUCGGGGUGAUACUAUGUGCUUUCCUUUUCUUGAGUUACAAGGCCUGUAAAAGACAUGGAGCAAAUGUCCUGAAAGGCCACUUUCUAUGGAAUCUUGCUGUUGGCAGGGCUGGAAGGGGUGGGAGGGCCUGGGUUUAUCUGGGUCCUGGGCGAGGUGAGGAUGGUACAUGCUUUGGCCUCCUCAGCCCCACAUCAUAGUCUGUCUGACCCAUCUCUGACCUGGGCACUGCAGUCCCAGGUGCCUGGCUGGCUUGCCGGCAGAGAGCUGGGCCUUGGCUUGAUCCUGGCAUUUACUCAACAGCCGUCUUGGUAUUUGUGAGAGGCACCUGCAAGCUCAACAAAACUAACCUGGGGCCUUGAACUCUGGUGUCCAAAAAGCAUCCUUAAUUGUAGAACAAGUAGCACGGACUUGAUUUCUUCUGACCAAACCCUUUGCUCUCCACCAUUGAGUGUCUCCAUAUUCUUGGGCUAUUUGAGGUCUUGAUCCCAAACAAGUAAAUACGGGGGCUGAGAUGGAGUUGGGUUUGAAUCCACCUGUGGUCUUGAGCAAGUUCCCUCUCUGAACCUAUUUCCUCAUCUGGAAAAUGGAGUUACAAUAGCAUUAGUAGUGUUUCUUCGAGGGUAAGUGAGAUAGGACAUGUAGACUGCUUAGGACAGGGCCCAACUCAGAGCACACCCUCCAUAGAGGUUACUUGCUAUGAGAAAUGAAUUAUUCUUUUUAAAAUUAGUAUUAUUAUUAGCAAAAGGGUGAAUUCCUAAUGAAAACAGUGAAGUGUAGAGCACAGUAGGGGUUGAGAUCGGAUACCCAGCUCAUCACAGGUCAGACCUCGAAGACAGAAGGAAAAGCAGAAAGACCCCUUGAGUCUCGGCUUGGCUGGGCUUGAGGAGGCAGCAAGGCAAGGCUUGUUGAGAGUGACUGAGAAAUUUCACAGAUGCUUCCAUAGCUCUGGGGGAGUUAAGUCAUGCUCCUGUUGGCCUGGGGCAUGACUGCAUGCUUCAGGGCCCACACUCUGGAAGCCUGGGUUCCAAUAGCCUCCCUCUCUCCACAUCUCCAGUCUUCUCCAAAAAAAUAAGACCUUACAGACUCAAGCUGGAGGUUUUCACCAAGCACAAGGAAGAAUUUUAAGGCUGUCCAAGAAAUAGAAUGCCAAGGAUGUCAUACAUUUCCAUAGGAUUAAUUCUGUUCAGUAGGAUUAAUGCGCCAGACUUUGUUCUAAAUCCUUUCUAUGAAUUAAUUAAUUAAAUACUCAACACAA